AACUGAUACUACCUGCGGGAACCUGCGGAGGGAUCAUUAGUGAGACUUAGCGCUCCAACCCUUGCGAACAUACCAUUGCGGCGUUGCUUCGGCGGGUUUGUUGGUGGAUGGUUUCUGUCCACCAGCAGCCCAGCCUGGCCAGCGGGGCCCCGCCGGCAGCGCCAAAAUUCUCAGUUUUUUAGUGGAACUCUUCUGAGUGGUAAAAAAGAAACAAGCAAAACUUUCAGCAAUGGAUCUCUA
rnacentral:misc_RNA from 1 species